AGGGCCUGGGGACGGGCUGCUGGGUGGCGGGUCGCUGGCCCAGCCUGGUCCCUGCCAGCCCCGCCCCGUGCCCCAGAUCAGCUCCCGGGAGCCCCGCACUGGGGUUCUCCCAUGCAGUAACAGGUGUGAGCAUCCAUGCAGCAUUUUGAUGGUCAUGUAUGAUACUGCAUACAACA
rnacentral:snoRNA from 1 species